rnacentral:rRNA from 1 species
CUACGGGCGGCAGCAGUCGCGGAACUUUUACAAUGCACGCAAGUGUGAUAAAGCGAACCAAAGUGUUUUUCGUUUAGAAAAACUUUUUCUUAGUGUAAAAAUCUAGGAGAAUAAGGACUGGGAAAGACUGGUGCCAGCCGCCGCGGUAAUACCAGCAGUUCAAGUUGCAUCCCUUUUUAUUGGGUCUAAAACAUCCGUAGCUUGCCGUUUAAGUCUCUUGUGAAAUCCUACGUCUCAAGCGUGGGGCUUGCAGGGGAUACUGAGCGGCUAGAGAUCGGUAGACGUAAGGAGUACGAUCAAGGUAAUGGUUAAAUAUGUUAAUCUUGGUUGGACUAACGAUUAGCGAAGGCACCUUACGAGGACGAGUCUGACAGUGAGGGAUGAAGGCCAGGGGCGCAAAACGGAUUAGAUACCCCCGUAGUC